UACGGGGGGGGCAAGCGUUGUUCGGAAUUACUGGGCGUAAAGGGCUCGUAGGCGGCCAACUAAGUCAGACGUGAAAUCCCUCGGCUUAACCGGGGAACUGCGUCCGAUACUGGAUGGCUUGAGUGUGGGAGAGGGAUGCGGAAUUCCAGGUGUAGCGGUGAAAUGCGUAGAUAUCUGGAGGAACACCGGUGGCGAAGGCGGCAUCCUGGACUACUACUGACGCUGAGGGAGCGAAAGCCAGGGGAGCAAACGGG
rnacentral:rRNA from 1 species